CGUGGAAGCACUUUGCUAGAGGCUCUCCUGCUGGCCUGUGACGGUGCUUUAGUUCUGAAUUUUACUUCUUUAGAUCUCGCUUGGAGACUACGCCUUUUUUGACCAACUGAAUUGGGGUGCAGCCUUCUCUCUCCAAAUGAGCCCCGCUGAAAGGAUGAAGAGGCUGUAAAGAGCAGAGCAGAGCAGCGGAGAUGCUGGCACCCAAUCUUCCCACUUGAGACCUAACCUGUCACCAUGUCCCUUGUGUUGCCCCGUCCUAGUCCUUACUUUGAAUUGAAAGGUAAAAGGGAAGGAAAGUUAAUAAGAAAACUAAGCUAAUCCCUGACCGGUUUGGCUCAGUGGAUGGAGCGUCGACCUGCGGACUAAAGGGUCCCAGGUUCGAUUCCGGUCAGGGGCAUGUACUUUGGUUGUGGGCACAUCCCCAGUGGGGAGUGUGCAGGAGGCAGCUGAUCGAUGUUUCUCUCUCAUCGAUGUUUCUGGCUCUCUAUCCCUCUC